CACGUAGGGGACGAGCGUUGUCCGGAUUCAUUGGGCGUAAAGCGCGCGUAGGCGGCUCGGAAAGUCGGGCGUGAAAUGCCGGGGCUCAACCCCGGGUCGCACUGGAAACUGGUUGGCUUGAGUACAGAAGAGGAAAGUGGAAUUCCACGUGUAGCGGUGAAAUGCGUAGAGAUGUGGAGGAACACCAGUGGCGAAGGCGACUUUCUGGGCUGUAACUGACGCUGAGGCGCGAAAGCGUGGGGAGCAAACAGG
rnacentral:rRNA from 1 species